CGCGGGGUGGAGCAGUGGCAGCUCGGCGGGCUCAUAACCCGCAGGUCGCAGGUUCGAUCCCUGCCCCCGCGA
rnacentral:tRNA from 2 species